rnacentral:lncRNA from 1 species
UAUAUAUAUAUAUACAUAUAUAUCACAUGUAUAUAUAUAUAUAUACAUAUAUAUCACAUAUGUAUAUAUAUACUCACACGCAUAUACAUAUAUAUCUAUAUGUAUAUAUACAAAUACAUAUAUAUAUAUAUGUGCAUAUAUACAUACAUAUAUAUAUGUAUACAUACUAUGUGGUUCAAAGCAAGCUACUUACCACACAACCACUCCUAUGCCUAUCCACACAGCCACUCCUAUGCGUAUGUAUAUAUAUAUAUAUAUAUCAAAAUAAUUUUAAAUGCUUUACAUAUCUAUUGAUAACUCAUGCUGGGCAUAUAUUUUAAAAGAAGUCCAAGUAUCACUGAGUGCUUUUAAUAAAUAGUAUCAGUUUUAUUAAUUCCACAUUCAGCUAAAUUUUGUUCGGCCAAAGACAACAGUAAAACAGUUGUGAAAAACAAUUUCAUCCUUAUAUACAUCUGAAACUUCACAUCAUGCAAAUAUUGUGAUUUGUAGUAAAUAUUUGCUUAAGGGUUUAUUCUUGUUGUUUUGUGUAGCAUUGAUAAAUAUUGUGGUUUAACUCUUCAGCAGACCUGAUUGAACAGACCUAAGAUUCCAGCAGAAAUCAUCUUUCUCUCUCUCUCUCUCUCUCUCUCUCUCUCUCACACACUACAUGCAUGCAUGCACAUAUGUUAAUUAAGCAAGUCUACAUAUCUGAUGCCAUUUUAUUAAUUUGAAAGAGAUUUAACUGAUUGGGCAACCACAUAGAAUCUUCGGCCUUGUCUCCUGACAUGACAUACUUAUUACUGGUCCAUAUAUCUAGCACUUAAAUCUAUCCACUGUAUAAUUUUUAUUGUAUUUUAUAUAGUUUAGUUUAAUUUCCAUUGUUAGUUGCGUCCGGUGUGAUAUCAUCCAUCUAGUUUUUGUGUUUGGAGCAGAGCUGAGUCAAGUACUGAUCAUAAGAGGGACCUAGAGCUGAAAUUGAUGUGUUUGUUUUAUUGUAUAUACAUUUUCUGUUUGUAUGCUGCUAUUAUUAUACAAUAUAUGGUGUGUGUAUAUAUAUAUAUAUAUAUAUAUAUAUAAUACACACACACACACACACAGAUUCUUAUUUUCCUAUUUUGAGUUUCAAAUAACUGACUCUGCCUGUCAUAGAAACAUGUCUCUUCUACAUGGCACAUGUAGUAUUUAUUUUUACUAUUAUGUGUGUCUUGGAGUUUAUCAGGCAUACUAAGAUGAUUAUUUUAUAUAUCACAGAUUGUCUAUAUCAGUCAUGCAAACUUCUGUCCUGUAUGUGUUAAAGGUAUUCUGUCUUGUCUAUUUUACUUGACAUAAUACAUUUUAAAACCAUUAAAAUGAAAUUAUCUUUUUUUCAAAUAAAUGGGAAUUUUUUUUUCCCAAAUGUAAUUUCUACUGCUGUUCAUUUCUAAUAUUGUGAACAUUGUUGAAAAUAUUCACAAUAUACACAUGCAUUCUGUUUGUGUAAAUAUUUCCAGCUAAUUUUGUAAAUAUGUUUUGUGUUUUGGUCAGUAUGUAUACUGGUAAUGAGAAAUCUAUGUAAAAUAAAAUCUGUAGGAAAUUGUAAUAUGAAUUUUUCAAAGAACCAUCUUUAUUUCAUUUCUAUUAAUUGUCCUGGAACCCUGUUCCUAUUUAAACAUAUAUUCUGUUCAAUAGCUUCUGAUUUUAUUUCAUAUUGUUAAUAUUCCCAUUCAAGUAUGAUAAUGGUGACUCAAAAUAUAGAACACACUCUUAACCAGUCUGAUUUAUAUUUAUCUGCUGUUCCCCCCAACCCUCUCAUUGUACCCCUUCCUGUUCUGAAAAUGAAUGGACCAAUAAACAUAGUUGUCCUAUUUCAGGUUUGCCAGGAUUGUACAUAAUUGUUAUGGAGCUAAAUAUAGCUCUGGGUAAACCUAACUAAUAAUCCAUGACUGAAUAGAAAAAAUAGAGCUUAAUGCAUGUAGAAAUUUUAUUGUUCUUUUGUUGGUUUAUACUUGUUCAGUGGUGAAUAUUUAUCAGUCUGAUCAAAAUAUAUCUCAUCUGUUUAAAAUAUGCAUACAAUAACAGAUUAACAACCAUAAUAAACUCUGGGCUUUUCCAUUCAUUCAUAGUGCAACAAAAUAAAUUUUAAAAUGUAUAAUAUUUAUUCUGCUUUUUAAAAAAUGUAAAAUUUCCAAUUUUUGAGAUUUACCCAAUGCACCUUUACCAGCUGUAAGCUUUGUGAUUUGAGAAUCUUGUCUUUCAUAAAACUAUUGCUCUGUUUUCCUUUUGCUUAUAUCAUGUGUGUCUAUAAACAAAGGCUAUUAGUCUCAGGUUUUGUAUGGCAUAAAAGUAAAAACCAGGAGAAAAAAAUGAUGCCAAAGUUUCUAUUCUGUUAUUUUUAUCUUAAUCUUCAUGAAAUUUAAAAUUAGAUAUCACAGUUUUCUCUCACUCAUGUCCAGAUGGAAGUUAUUAAAUAAAGUCUAUUUUUUUCUGAAUCAUUGCUGUUAGAAAUCAUUUUUGUUUCUGUGCCUAGCACUGAAAUGUUCUCAUUUCUUCCAUAUCAUUGUCUUCUGUAAGAGAACUUCUUCUAAUGAUAUUAAUUUAUUUUUGCUUUCUCUGUGCUCAAUGUUUCCCGUCAUUCUUAUCCAGCUUUGCUCUGUUGCUAUUAUUAAACCAAAUCUUUUCUUGCAUAAAGCUAGUAUUUUUGAACAAAAGUAAUUAUCCAUGUUUUGCUCUGAUGUCUUUUCACUGAAUUAUUUCAACACAAAACAUUACAACCUCAACAAUAGUUUGUUGAUUAUUGAUUGUAAACCUAAACUUAGUAAAUAGAAAAAAACAAAAUCUUUUUUUUUUUUUUAGCUUUUAUUGCUUACUUUUUCAAAAUUUGCAUUCAUAAACUCUAAUCAUUGUAGAACAUAACUAUUCCAUGGUGGAAAUCGUCAUGAUGAUGAUGAUAGAAAAGUGUGAUGUGAAUAAAAAACUAGACUAACAACUCAGGAGUUCAUAUCCAAUUAGUUCAUAUCCAAUAUAGGAAUUUGGGGGUUUAUACACACACACACACUCAUAUACAUACGUACAGGAGUAUAUAAUUUUAUACCAGAUUUUCUGUCUAUUUUUUAGAUAACUAUUUUUUCCAGCAGAAAGUUAUCUUCUAUUCAUUUAAACUUCUCAAUUCAUUGAUUAGUUCCAAUUUUAUGAACUUCUUUAAUUUAUGGAGGUAUGAUUAUCAUCAUGUUUGCUAUGUAUACAUGUGUUGCAAAACUCUUCAAUUAAUGUAAUUGAAAAGAAAAUAUUUUUUUUUUUAAAUAAUUUUCAAUUGAGAAUCUCUUGGUAUACAUUAGACAUUUACUUCCAUACCAGGGAGAGACAAAAGGGCUAUAAUUUUUAUUUAACUUGAAAUGACUUUCCAACAGAGAAGCAUAGAGUGAAAAUGAGACUGCUAAACAACAAAACUUUCAGUAAAACUCAUAUACACACAAAAGAAUAUUUUAACAUUUUAAAAUGCGAAUUUAAAUGUUACUGUUACAACAACAACACACUUUUUUUGUUGAAAAAACAAGUCAAAUUUAAUUGGUGAAAGUGUUGUUUUGAGCAACACUGACAGGAAAAGCAAUUUUUUCACUAGCACUUUUAAGAGGAGCUAAAUAUAUGUGACCAAGCAGAGAAAAAUCUACAUAGCAGAAAUAUGUAACUAAAAUAUUAUAUACCUCCCUACCUGAUGACUUUACUCAAGAGCAAACAAGAAGGAAGUCACAUAUCUUUGCAUCACAACUUUCCACCACCACUACCACCUGAAAAAAAAAGGCUUUUUUUUAUGCCCUUAAAGCAACAUCUGGAGGUUUGCCAUAACCAGUGUCUGAAGUGAUGUCUCUUCUCAUGGUUGAAAUAAGGCUUAAGGCCUGGUUUGUUUAAACUGAGGACAGAGCAAGAAAGCAAGCUAAAUUGAUGACUACCUUUUGCAAAACAGUAUGGAUAUGUGUGAGUGCAGAAGUGACUAGAAAUGGUAUGGGCAGGAGAGGUUUAUGUAGAUAUCCAAGUCUUAAUGAUCCCCAAAGCCUGCAGGGCCAAUUCAGAGCUGUACCAAACUGGGGGUGCAGAAAUAACAUCAGUGAGACUGGCAAUGCAAGGUAGAAGCCAAGCUGCUUGUGUGACAAUAAGGUCCUUUUCAGCAGCUCUUUCUGGAAGAAUUCAAGAAUCAGGAACAGCAGAGACAGUGUCAACAAUAGCAGGCCACUGAAAUUCCUUUUUCCAAAGCACCACUUGUCAAGGUUACCAAAAUAGCAGAAUAGACCACCUCUUAAAAGCUAGCAAUCAAGGACUCCUCUCCUCCUGCCUUGAUUAACAACACAAUCCCAUUGUUUUGUGAUAUAGAGCAGAUAAACAAUGGAAUGAGGUGAAAGACUAUCAAAGUCAGUGGAAAGAGUAAAAUCAAAAAAGAAAAAGACCCUUAAAAAGCGAAGUUUACCUCCUUAAGGAAGGUGAGUGGAAUGUGUGAAGGACGCCAUCUCCCUCUGGAAACUUGUAAUUUUUUACAUAUAUAGUGAAUGAUCAACUGAUAGAUUUUUUAUUAGAUGCUUUGCAACAUGAUCUUGGAAAAGAUCAAAUGCAGAUUUGCAAGGAGAUGGACUCUGAUUAUGUAAAGCAUAAAAACAAUAAACUGCUAAUAAAAACUUAAUUAAAUUAAUGAAUUGUUGUAUCUUAACUAUCCAGAGUGCAUGGGUCCUUUCUUACUCAUUCCCACACAAGCACUUUUGCAACUAAGCCUUUUGGGUGCAUUGAUAAAAAUAAAGUACCAGUUUAAUACUGGGAUUAAUGAAUUAACUAGCAUCCUCCUCCUCUCAAAACAGUUGGCUUUGUGCCUGAAUUUGAAAUAAUUAUUUUUAGGUUAAGGGCAAUGAAAUCACAGAGUGCUAGACAAAAUUGCAGUUAGUAGUUGUUUUCCUUUAUAUUCUAUGUUCGAAUCCUGCCAAGUUCAAAUUUGACUUUCAUUCUAUGUGAGUUGAGAAAAUAAAGUUUGAGUUAAGUACUGAUUUAACUUUAUCAGCUAUAUCCAUUUACCUGAUUAUUAUUAUUAUGCCAUCCAGGUCGACUUUGCCUUUCAUCCUUUUGGGGUCGAUAAAUUAAGUACCAGUGAAACACUGGAGUUGAUGUGAUUGACUAGUCCUUUCCCAUAAAAUUUCAGGCCUUGUGCCUUCAAUAGAAAGAAUUAUUAUUAUCAUUCUGGAGUAGUAGAUUGGUAAAUCUGUUUCAGUGUUUGACAAACUGCCUUGUGAUAUUUAGUUAUGGCUUUUUAUGUUCUAAGUUCAAAUCCCACCAAAGUCAACUUUGCCUUUCAUCUUUUUGAGGUUGAUAAAAUAAACUAGCAGCUGAGUACUCAUUGAUAUAAUCAACUGCUCCCUCCCUCAAGUUUCUGGUCUUUCUUGAUAAAAAGAAAUUAUUAUGGUUAAAAUUAUUGGAAUGGACAAAAUGCUCUGUGACAUUUCUUUGGGCUCUUAACAUUCUGAGUUAAAAUACCACUGAGGUUUAUUUUGCCUUUCAUUCUUCCGGGAUCAAUAAAAUAAAGUAUUAGUCAAACACUGGGGUUCAGUGGUCUUGACAAACCAAUUCCCCUUCAAAAUGACUGGGCUUGUACUUAAAUGAGAAAUCAUUAUUAUCAUUCUAACAGUUGUUAUUAUUUCCUUGUUGUUAUCCUCAACACCAUAAUGGCAUGGUUGUGUUAAGAUAGUGUUACCAAAAGAAUCAUAUUGACAUGAAAUACACUGAAUCUUCAGUUUAUAUCUAACUUCAACUUAUAAUCUCACACACCAAAUUGAUAUUGAAAAUUUGAAUUGACCUACCUGUACACUUUCAAUUAUUUUUCGUCUUUAGACUUGCACUAAACAAUUUUAGUAGUUUUUACUUAAAGUGUCUUGGAAUGUUUUGUGAUAAUAGUUUUAAAUCUCACUUUUUUAUGCUGACAUCUGUAGUGGUAUGUUAACCAUUCUACUAUCUCUGUCAAUGUCGAAUAUACAAGUAAAAUUUUGUUUAUAAGUAAUUUCUCUCUCUGUUACAAAUGAAACUUAAAACAGAUAACACAAAGAGGAAUAUGUAACAUGCUGACUUUUAAUAUAUACUAUGUGAUAUAUAAUGAAAUAUGUGAUGUGUGUCAUGAUAUAUAAUGAAAUAUGUAUUACUAUGUCAUGAUACAAUGUGUGUGAUUAAUAAUAUACUAAAUGAUGUAUAGACUGUACUACUAUAUAUAUAUAUAUAUAUCUUUUUUUUUUUAGUAUUGCCAAAGGAAAUAGGGAAGCACCUAUAACCCUUUUGAGGUCCUCUAGGACUGGUAAGAGGAAGUUAUCCUCUGAUUGGAAAGCUACCCUAAAUGUUUAAAACAGUAAAUUUGGCUAAAGGUAUCCAAAGGCCAGGUAGUAGUGUUAAACUGGGCAAGGAAUUAACUCUACCAUUCAAAUAUGCAGUAUAUGAUGAAAGAACUCGUGUGAUGUGUACACAUAAAUACAUUUGACUUUUUAAACUGUGUGAUAUAUACUGUAUGAAGUAUAGCAUGUUGUACCAUAUAACACACUUUGGGAUAUAUAAAGCACACAACACCCAACUCACUGUGUGAUAAUAACACUACAUGAUAUAAAUAUAUAACAUGUCACCUGCUAUGUGAUAUAUAAAUUAUUUUUAUCUUGAAAUUAUUUCCAUUUAUCAUCCAUUCAAUCAUAUUUUAAUUUUCUUUGACAGUCUUCUAGUCUACUGUGAUAGCCAUGGACUUUUCCCUUCAUUUGGAAGAGAAUAUCAGCCUGUUACAAAAUGAGAAUCUUACGUUUCUUUUUCAUCUUUAAAACAGAUUAUUCAUGUACUUAGCUUGUUUUUGUUGUUUUGGCAACCAUCUCUCUGUCUUCUUUGAAUCUCAAGAACACUUAAAAUGGAAGAAACAAACAACCCAUUUGUGUGUUUAUAUCCCACUGGCCUUUUUUUUUUUUUUUUUGCUAAGACACUUAAUUCCAGAUUUGCUAUUUUUUUUUUUUUUUUUUUUUUUUCAGUGCUCACUUUUUAAGGAGACUUCCCUAUGACAGUACAACAUCUAAAAAGGGAUAACACUGCAGAAACCUAAUUUGAGCAGUGGCUCUUUCGAGACUUGUAGUCCACGAAGAGUUUAUUGUAUUCUUUUUCUCUAGCAUGCAAACUCUGUGCUGCAAUAGCACAUAAAAAUUCAUAUCAAAAUUUACUUCCAAUUAAACAAUAAUAGUAUUAUAUGUGUGUCUGUGCAUGUUGUGUGUGUAUGUGUGUGCGUGUGUGUAAUUAAUAUUAUAUACAUGUGUAUAUAUUUCAUACUUAACAUUUAAAACAAUAUUUUAGUUGUAUAUUCAAAAUGAUGCAUAUCUCUAUGAUAUUAUAAAAGUAUUUUUGUAGUUGGGCCAUUUUUUCUAUUGUCCAUAGUUGGUAUAUUACUCCAUUUUAUAACUAUAUCAUACAUCUUUUGUGUAAAAAGUUGUUUUUUGAAAAUUAUCUAGAUAUUUUUGAUGUUAGUUUAGAACUUUUCAUAUUUCUAUCUUUUAUCCUCAUUGAUGUAUUUUUUGACUAUAUUUAUUUACUCUAAUCUGCCAUUUUAUUCCAUGCUUGCCUUUACAGUUGUAAGUAAUAACUUUCUUUUUCGUAAUAAAUAUUUUAAUAUUGCUGCUGCUACCAUCACCAUGAUAAAUGAUAAAUAAAAUUUAUUAACUCGCUAA